GUUUCUAUAGUUGAAUAACAACGAUGAUUUUUCAUGUCAUAGGUCGUGGUUGGAUCCAUGUAGAAAUU
rnacentral:tRNA from 1 species